rnacentral:piRNA from 1 species
GGGAAAGCACGUGACCUCUCUGGGCC